GAAAAAUACCAUUCUUGAUUUCAGGUAGCCUUUUAUUUUAGCGAUAAUAGUUAGCUCAGCAAGCAGAGAUGUCUUCAGUUGAUGAUUUCAUCAUAUUUUUCCAAAGCUGAUCUAAGGAGAAGCUGCCUGGUAGUUACAGUGACGGCCGCAAGCACGGCUGUGUGGAGGUUGGAUUGCAGGAUGAUUGGCCCAACGAAGAUGGUACAACAUAUGACACCAAUGCACGGGAGCCUACAUCUCUUGGCAGCACCAUGGCUCCGAUUUGUGUGGGAAGCUCCCUCCCCGAUGGCCAGCUCGGGCGGUUCGGUGAGAUUGACCCUCACAAUCUCCUCCUUCCCCAAU